AUUGCAAACGCAGGUAUUUAUUAAUAUAUGUAUACUUAUUACUAUAAAUGCACUUAUAUAACUGUAGUUAAUCUUUAUAGAAUUACCUUUUAAAUAUUUAUGGUAACUCUAAUAAAAUAAAGUUUUUUAUUUCCUUAUUACAUCGCUAAUUUAAAAAUUAUUUUCAGCUGAAGGACUGGUCAAUGAUGUCGCUGGAGGAGGUAUGUUACAUUUCGUUUUUAAUUUUAUGUAUGUUAACCUUUGAUUUUUGAUGCAUGCAGAUGUUUAGUUAUUUUUCAUCUUCUAACUUUAAGUUAUAUUUCCUUUCAAACAGUAUUCAUAAAAAGUGGAAAAUUAGAUAGCUCAUUGAGUCAAUAGUAUUUCAUAAUAUCAGUACACUAACAGAUAAGCAUAUAAGUAUUGGUCAAACGCAGAAUGUUAUCGAGGGAAAAGUUUAAAAAAUAUUUUCCUAUACAUUAUGUAGAUUACACUAACUUAGAAUGAUUUUGAACUGAUUAAUUGAUAUUUUUGAACUAGCUUUAGAAUUUGGAUCUAAAAUAAUUUCAUGCGGCUUCGUUCGAAAUUUUAGGCUACAGCAAAAAGAAAAAAGUUCAGGUGAUGCAAGAGAGACAGCCAAAUCGGCACACAAGAAAAAUUUUUUAUCACUGUAAUUAAAUAUAAGUUUAGAUUUAGAUUUGGCAUGUAUCCACCUUACUGACUUUUACCUGAUCUUCCCAAAUAGUUAUUAAACGCAGGUUAUAAGAAUUACAGGAACAGGUUUCUAGAUCAGAUUUUGGAAGCAAGUUAUACAGUAGUGAUAUUAUUUUCACAUUUGUUUACCUAUAACUGAACAAAAUUCUAAUAUUAAAUUCGUUAAUGUACAGAAGAAUUUUAUUUUAUUUCGAUAAAAAAUAUGACGCUUGUCUUGAUAAUAAAACUUAUAUCAUUAUUUCAGUUGUUCAAGCUACUAGUGGUAAGUGAAAACAAUAUUUAUGCAGUAAACUACUUGCACACAUAAAUAUAUGUUAAAAAAUUUUGCUAAUUUUUUAAUAAUUUUCAAUUUUUGCGAUCUAUGUUAGCUUAAAAUUUUGUUUAAAACAAUUUCAGUCAACCAGCAUAUCUGGUGAUCAUGGCCCUUGAAACUCUUUUUUUUUCAAAUUUGCUUCAGGAAAGACAAAAAAAUGUGUGGUAUGAAAAGGUAAUGAUUUUAGCGCUAUUUUUAUAAUAAUGCAUUUGGUCCCAGAGUUAAAGGAACAAAAUAAUAAAUUAUUUCAUAAUUUUGAUUUAAUAAUGUAUGAACAUAUGAUGUAAAAUUUGCAAUGGAGUGUCAUAUUAAAUUAAAUUAUAAUUUUGAAAAUAAAUUUAAGAACUAAAUGAAUCACGAAACAAAUAAAAAAAGGGCUAUUUAUGUUUGUUUUUUUCAAUUUGAAUAUGCAUCUGCCAAUUUUUCUCAUGCAUUUGAAGCAGUAUAUGUACUGACAAAAAGAAAAUUUACACAUAAAAAUUAUAAAAAAAUUAUAAAAAAUAAUACUUUAAUUUUAAUGAAAUCUUUGUUCUCCUCAUAUGUAUGCCGGAAUUUUAUAACUUCAAAUGAUGCUUAGAUUGAAAAUUUUUUUUUUCAAUUGAUCUUAAAUAAAUUUAAUUUAUAUUCCAUCUUACGAAAUGCAAGAUUUUUAUAUAACUUCAUAUGCUAUAUGGAUCCUAGAUUAACUAUUGCUUUCUAUUGCUUUUUAUAUUGCUACGUCUGUAAUUAACAUUUUAAGGAAAAUAUUUUUAUUUGUUCAAAACUUUGUUUGCAGAUUUCUUUUGUGGCUUUAACAGAGUAUUUGGCAAGAUUGGAAGCGACUUGGGACAAGGAAGUAAGUAUGAUUUUGUAACCAAAUUGUGUUAUUGCGCCAUUAACGCCUGAAACUUAAGUAACUA